rnacentral:misc_RNA from 1 species
GCUAAACAUACAAGUUUGCUUAGAUUGUUCAAGGAGCUAGCCUUGAACCCCACAAGCAAUAGCUGUAGUUCUGAUAACAAACUUGGAUGGAUUGAUAUGGUGUUUAUGUUUAUCAUCAAUAUCAUCAUCAUCGUCGUCAUAGCUAGACAUAAAAUUGUCCUUGACGUGAUUGAUAUACGUAGAAAACCUGGCAUUCUCUGGA